UAUAAGUAUUAGAUACAAAUAAUUGAUGAGAUAUAAAAGGCGAAAAGCAUGGAGUUUUCUCCAAUUGAUGAGAGAUGUAAACCGACAGAUGCAAGUGCCAUAAAUUCCAGACGAAUAACGGCACUAUUUCUACCGAAUGCAAAGUUGUUGGAACAGUGAUGCACAAUCGAUGACACUUCGCAUUCACGAGGUCUGAACACAACCCAGGAUCUCAAAACUGUUUGUACAAGAUUUAUUUUCUUUAUUGCGUUAAACAUCGUAAAAACCAAAAGAUAAUCGUAUUUCGAAGACUGCUUUUAAUAGACAAAAAUAUCACCAAUCUAAAACAUAAAAGGUAACUCCUGCAUUUCAAAAAGCAUCAGGACUUGGUAUGAAUAUAACGUCGGAAUUUUGUUAUUAUUUUACCCAAAUUAACAGUACUCGCUUGAAAAAAGAAGUUAGUGUUAAGUGACUACUAAGUGGUAGUUUACUUAGAAUAAGUGAAUUCUGGAUAUGCGAUAUUUCCUCUAAGCGUCUUUCAAAAAAGGUCAAGAAACUAACUUUACUUUCCCAAGCAUGAGGUUACUGACUAAACUUCGGUAA